rnacentral:rRNA from 1 species
AGUGAACGCUGGCGGUAGGCCUAACACAUGCAAGUCGAACGGCAGCACAGGAGAGCUUGCUCUCUGGGUGGCGAGUGGCGGACGGGUGAGGAAUACAUCGGAAUCUACUUUUACGUGGGGGCUAACGUAGGGAAACUUACGCUAAUACCGCAUACGACCUACGGGUGAAAGCAGGGGAUCUUCGGACCUUGCGCGAUUGAAUGAGCCGAUGUCGGAUUAGCGAGUUGGCGGGGUAAAGGCCCACCCAGGCGGCGAUCCGUAGCUGGUCUGUGAGGAUGAUGCGCCACACUGGAACUGAGACGCGGUGCAGACUCCUACGGGAGGCAGCAGUGGGGAAUAUUGGACAAUGGGCGCAAGCCUGAUUCAGCCAUACCGCGUGGGUGAAGAAGGCCUUCGGGUUGUAAAGCCCUUUUGUUGGGAAAGAAAUCCAGCUGGUUAAUACCCGGUUGGGAUGACGGUACCCAAAGAAUAAGCACCGGCUAACUUCGUGCCAGCCGCCGCCGUAA